AAACAAUUUUUAUAUGUUUUUUUGUAACUUGAAAAUUGUUUUUAUAUUAUUCUAUGACUUGGUAUCUGUGUAUAGGUAAAAACUCAAUGUUAUCUAUUCAGUCUAAAAUAUGGUGAAAAUACGAAGAAAGAAUCAAUAUCUAUCUGUAAACACGAUUCCACAAAAAUAAAAAAAAGACUCUGAAACAAACAAUAGUCCACAAAACACCACAAUAAAAACUUUUGAUUUAGCAACACGAAACCAACUGAAAAGUGUUCAUGUUUGUCAUUUACAUCUAAAUAAUGAAAAAUAACAUGCCUAUAGAAUUGUAAAAUUGUGGUUUAUAGAUGAGCUGUUUGAUUUCAUUUAUUAGUCUUCCAUCUUAGCUCGUCUCUGCAUAUUCUGUAAUAGACAGUAUGAAGGCAUCAUUAAACUUUGUCCAAGAUUUCACACAACCAAAACAGGUCAGAUAAAGUUGCAUGCUUCAAGUUUCAAAGUAUGUGUCACGUGAGAAACAAGUGGAGCACAGUCUUAGUUAAUUGCUGAUUGUAUAAACAGCUUUUCAAGCAUAUUCGAAUUCUCAAAACAUAUCGUUUUGGUUAUUUCUUUUCCAUAUAAUAUAAAAAAGACAUACUCAGAAUGUUUAUACACGUAUAUGUUUCCGUAAUUUCAACAAGAAGGAUGGCAGAUGUAAAGGAGUUACAAUCAUGUCUCAUUGUUUAUGGAAUUUGAUUAAAAUCAUACUAAUUUAGAUUGUAUUGAAACUGUUACGGAAUCCGCUGUGAUUGAUUACUAUUCGUUGUUACAUUUACUCACAGUUGUACAUGUAGAAUUGUACUUAACUUAGUAUUGAGGAAAAGGGUAAAUGAUCAAAUUGUUGAUUUGUUAUUUGAGACGCUUUGUAUUUUAUUUGGUCAUUUACAAUGUAGAAAUGAAUGCUUAAUGUAAUCGUAUAUGUAGAACUUUGUAUAUAGUAUGCACAUGAAACGUACACCAAAAUUUUUCACUUAUUUGUUAUUAAUUGCGCUUGAGUUUCGGCUCAGUCGAUUUUUUUGUUUUUCUACUCUUGGAACUUGUGGAGUGAAUGAUGGUUUUGCAGAUAUGAUUGCACUGGUAAUACCAAUAUUUUUUUGGAAGUCUCUUGUGAAUGUUGUAUACAUUUAUCUUUCAGACAGACCAAAGAUCUCCUAAUUUUUUCUUACACAUGAAAGGAUCAACAGUACCACUCUGUAUGAAUUUAGACCCAAAGGACACAGGCAGAUAUCAUUUUCUAUACAGUCCAAUAAAGCCACAAAAAUCACUUCAUGUAAUCAUUGCCAAAACCCUGAUUCAGAAGAGGAAAAGAGAUUACAUAAAAGCUGUCGAGUUACGGGAAGGGGAACAGAAAAACAAUAUAUGAAUAUCAAGUUUCUGAAAUUAUCUAAUGCUAUGUUGAAUGUUACAAAACUAUGGAAGGACAUUCACAACAAAAGAACAAAAGACUUUUCGUCCUAUAAUCUAACAGUUGUAGUUUCCCCUGCCAAAAUCCGACUAUUCGGUUUACAACUUCAUCUUUAUAUACGACAAAGCAAUUAAGUUUUUGCUUCUGGACCACUACGUUGGUUUGUUGGUAUGGAAAUUAAAAGCAUUUCUUCAACCGAAAUAAUUGUGCGACCGAAUGUUGGAAAACAGUUUACUGUCAAAAAAUUUAAGCUGUUGAAGUCCUCGCCUGUAUUGUCAUAUUUAACAGACGCCUGUUGGUAUAUAAUGAACCCAGAAAAAGAGAUUCCGCUUUGGGAACGCUUAUUUCAGCAAAAAGAUAUCGAUAUAUGGAUAUAAGUGCUUCACAAUCAAUAUGUGAUGAUCAGACUUCAAAGUUUACCUUAAAUUUAUAACAUGUUCAAAAUAAAUCGUUUUAUGUUCCAUUGUUUUUAUACAGAAACAAAUUUUGAUGUUAUAUAGUAAAGGCUCGACUUAUUGUUAUAAAUUACACAUUCAUAUACACCAGGACAUGUUCGCCUACAUAUUAAUGUCGUCUAUCGAAGUCAAGUCUCUCACGUUUUGUUCCAAACAAAUUAGAAUUGGUAAAAAUAAUCACCUGAUGACUCGUGCUUCAAGCGACAAGAGACAACGUGGGUCUAAACGAAAAUUCCUGCUCUGCACGCAACUUCUGUCAUGUAAGUCCAAACUCAUUUUACGUAGCUACUUCCAUGACAAAUAACAAUUUUCCUGAAACUUGCUUUAUGUCAUAGAACAAACAUUCCCAAGUAGGCUGCGACUUCGAGACUACAUAAAGAGAAAAUACCGGCCAAUUUGUAAAAAAAUAUGUGACGGCAAUUGAUCAUUUUUCUAUAAAAUAUGAAACUCCCACAGAGAACACUUAUUCAUAUGCAAAAACAAGAGUUGGAGUGUGUUACUUGUUAUAAUUGUUAUCUUUAUUUGGACAACAAUAGUUUUUAGAUAAAUUCAAUCAAUGCAUAAAUACCUUUGCCAGUAUUUUCUUACAAAAUAAUAGCUAAAUUA